AUGUUUGCCAAAGAGUGCAAAGUUUCAGUUACAUGGGAGGAAUCAGUUCUGGUGGUUUAUUGCAAAACAUGGUGACUAUAGUUAAUGUACUAUGUAUUUCAAAACAUCUAAAAGAAAAGAUUUUAAGUGUUCUCACUACAAAGCAAUGAUAAAUAUUUGAGAUGCUGAACUUUUUAAUACUUACAUUCUUAAGUUUUUCAAGGCUUUUCUAAUAAGUCUGGCAUUCCUGCCCUUGGCAGUGUGAGAUGGAAGAUGAUGUCGCAAGGGUGGCCGAGAAGCAGCUGGGCUGAGCUGCUAAAAGCACAGAGACCGGGGCCAGACUCCUCAGCCUGAAAUCCUGCUUCCACUAAGUACCAGCUGGGUAACUUCAGGCAUCAGUCCUGCCAUGGUUCACACCAGCAGUGCAGCCCGUGCUCAUGGAGGUGAAGUGAGAGACUGGCCUGCAAGAGUGACACAUACAGAGAAGCGGAGGUGGAGCCCAGUUGACAGGAAAUGUUUCUCCAGAAGCUGAAAAGCUGCCUGGUAAAGGCCUUUCAUAAAAUGGUCUGCGUUUGGGACCAGGAAGACAGAAGACUCCUCAAGAAGAGAACUGGAACCUUAACCCACUUCAGACUUCUUCAUGUCUGAAGCUUAUUUCCACCAUCCCAUUGAGAACCAAAGAAGCGAGCUCCUUGGAGAAUCGGCUCCCACCUGGACCUUCUGUUUAUCCUUCCAAUAGCUGCUGCAUUCAUCCUUCCCAGCUAAUGACACUUCCAGCCUUUCGUGUUUCAAAGUAUCACGGACUUUGCAAAAGAUUCCAGGUUUCUAUGGAGCAGAUAGUACUUUUAACAAUCAACAUGUGCAUUAUUAUUUCCUCCUAAGGCAUACUUAGACAUCAAUGCAUGCUACAGCAAGGCAACUUAUCUCACCCUCACCAAGAUAUUCUGCACUUUCAGUGGCAAAAUUUUAAAGAAAAGGAGACAAAAUGGAACACAAAUUCAAUAUGACUAUUGUCAUCCUUCCCUCCCAGGAAGUGUAGGAAUCAUCCAAAGUGGUAAAAGAGCAGCGCUUCUAAACUCUGACUUCACAUGGAAAAUAACGCGACUACUAAAACUGAUAACAAUAGCAGUCCAUGCCAUUUGACAGGGGUGUGUAGGAGAGGUGGUGAGCAAGCUGAAAUCCCUUCAGGUAUUUGCAGAACUUCUGAGCAAAAGCUAAAGCUAAAAUUAACAUUAAAUAUGCAAAGUAUUUUUAACCCAACAUAAAUUAACAAUGUUCCUAUUUCAAUUCUAUUGCUCUUGGGAUGACUAUGUCCUUUGGAAAAUGUUUAAAUAACUUAAGAUUUCCGUCAUGAGUUUACUAUUUCAAAACUUAUUUUUUUAACUGCAAGAUACCUUUUUAUGUUACCAGGAGUGUUACCAGCUAGCUGCCAAAACCUGGUUGAAGUUCUCCCACUUUAUAUUGUAAAUGAUUACAUAGUUUAUUAGUAAUUGUGUCCCCUGUCCACCCACUGGUCCAUUUGGAUGGGAAAAUUUUCAAAAUAACUUCAUAAGAAAAUGAUAAGAAAAAUGUGGUCACCGGUAUCAUGAGGAACUUCCAGACAGCUCAGCACAGAAAAGUUGGUUUUAAAGUCCUCGAAAACGUUACUGGUAAUGAGCUUCCACUCCUUUAGUCGUUGUGCAUAGAUACACCACAGAGUAAGGUUAUAAAAAUAAAAGUUGUUUCAGGAAAUUUCCCAUUGCUUUAUUACAUGAUCAAUGAGAGUAAAGAGAAAUGGAAGUUGACGGGAUAGGAAUGAGGGACCUGCUGGAAGAGUGAUCACAAUAUCCAAAGGAAAUUUAAAAUGCCUGUUGAAAGUGACACACUGACUCAGCAUUGUCACUAACACAGAAUCACCACAAUAAAACUGCCCUGCCCUGUGGCUCCUGGCACCUCAUGUCUCUUUAGGUUAAGCAGAGAGAGGUCUGUGUUGCUUUGGAACAAGGUGCAGCCUCCCCCUAAGCUACAGAGAGGCUCUGAGCAAGGACCAGCCCCCAGGGUGCAGCCUUGCCCACCCUCCACAGGCUCCAGAGCAGAUGGGGUGGCUCUAGAGAGCAAAUGGUCAAAACUUCUAGCGCUAAAUAGAGCUUUAACAUGUCUCAGAUACUAGCAAAAUAGAGAAGCCUCAGAUGGCUUUAGGUCUGGAAGUGUGUUGCUAAAAAUGCUAAAAAUUUAACAAACUUUUAUAAAUCCUUAAGAGAUCUUUUUCAGUUUUCUGAAGUACCGUUAAUUGCCCAUGUGUUUCAACUUGCAGACAGGCAAGAAUUUGGCUUUGUAUGUUUAAAAAUAUGUACAUCUUGGUUCAUAAUGAUGAUUUAUUUCCAAAAUGGUGACUCAUACUAGGAUUACAUAUAAAACAUCAUAUGUGGGCCUUAUAUGUAAUAAUGUGUAAGUAUAGUAUAUUAAUUACUCUGACAUAACAUGGGCAGAGAUUUGUAUUAAUUUAUUUCUAUUUCAUCUAAUCAAUAUUUUACUUAAGUCUAAAACCUUAUAUAUAUAUUGACAUGUAUCAUCGUAUAUAUAAACAUUGUAUCUAUUGAACUGAGCAAUCUGUAGUUUAUUUUAAAUUCUGAUACAUUAAAGAUGUGGAGAACUACAUGAAAUCAUAGGAAAUUUUUCAUUCAAAUAAAAAUUGCAAAGAGCCAUUCCUAAAU
rnacentral:lncRNA from 1 species